CUGGCUCAGAACGAACGCUGGCGGCGCGUUUAAGCAUGCAAGUCGCGGAGUAAACACCUUCGGGUGUUUGAGACCGGCGGACGGGUGAGUAACACGUAGGUAAUCUGCCUGAGGGUUGGGGAUAGCCCAUGGAAACAUGGGGUAAUACCGAAGAUACGUCUUAUCUUACACAAGUGAGAUAAGGGAAAGGUGCUUAGGCACCGCCCACAGAUGAGCCUGCGUCUCAUUAGUUAGUUGGUGGGGUAACGGCCUACCAAGGCAACGAUGAGUAGCCGGCCUGAGAGGGUGAACGGCCACACUGGGACUGAGACACGGCCCAGACUCCUACGGGAGGCAGCAGCUAAGAAUCUUCCGCAAUGGACGAAAGUCUGACGGAGCGACGCCGCGUGUGUGAUGAAGGCGGAAACGUUGUAAAGCACUUUUCCUGGGGAAGAAUAAGGUGAGGAGGUAAUGCCUCAUCGAUGACACGAACUAGGGAAUAAGCCCCGGCUAAUUACGUGCCAGCAGCCGCGGUAACACGUAAGGGGCGAGCGUUGUUCGGAAUUAUUGGGCGUAAAGGGCGUGUAGGCGGCCUGGUAAGUCUGGUGUGAAAGACCGCAGCUUAGCUGCGGGACCGCGCUGGAGACUAUCAGGCUAGAGUCUAAGAGGGGGAACUAGAAUCCCCGGUGUAGGGGUGACAUCUGUAGAUCUCUGGAAGAA
rnacentral:rRNA from 1 species